GAUGAACGCUAGCGGCAGGCUUAACACAUGCAAGUCGAGGGGCAGCGCGGGGUAGCAAUACUCUGGCGGCGACCGGCGGAAGGGUGCGUAACGCGUGAGCAACUUGCCCGUCACAGGGGGAUAACCGGUGGAAACGCCGACUAACACCCCGUAACACAUUUCGCCGCAUGGCGUGAUGUUGAAAACUCCGGUGGUGGCGGAUAGGCUCGCGUGCCAUUAGCUAGUCGGCGGGGCAACGGCCCACCGAGGCGACGAUGGCUAGGGGUUCUGAGAGGAAGGCCCCCCACACUGGGACUGAGACACGGCCCAGACUCCUACGGGAGGCAGCAGUGAGGAAUAUUGGUCAAUGGACGAGAGUCUGAACCAGCCAAGUAGCGUGCAGGAUGACGGCCCUAUGGGUUGUAAACUGCUUUUANAAGGGAAUAAAGUUAGUCUCGUGAGACUUUUUGCAUGUACCUUAUGAAUAAGGACCGGCUAAUUCCGUG
rnacentral:rRNA from 1 species